rnacentral:pre_miRNA from 1 species
UUAACUCAUAUUUGUAUGGACUUGGAAUGUUUGCCUAUGUUUGCCGCUAGGGGCGCUGUUCCAACUCCAUACAAACUUGAGUUA